rnacentral:lncRNA from 1 species
UUAGACAAGGUGCCUUGGGCGAUGACAAGGCAACCUUGAUCGUAGGCAACGGCUAUAGCAAAUGAAGGCACAUGACACUUGACUAAGGCACGUGCAGAUCAGUGGGACGACUAAGUUUGUGACAGGACAUGAUCAUGAGCUUAUGGGCAAGGCAUGUUCCAAAGACAAGGCAAGAAGACAAAGUGUGGACAAAAGCUAUAGAACAAGUGUGCAAGUCAUGUGACUGAAAGAAG